rnacentral:rRNA from 1 species
AUGGCUGCCAUGAAGAUCACCCUCCUCGCCGUGGCCGCGAUGGCCGUCUUACUAGGCACCGCGUCAGCGGUAACCUACAACGUCGGCGAUCAGGGCGGUUGGACCCUUAGCACCGACUACAGCAGCUGGGUGUCCGGCAAGAAGUUCAACGUGGGUGAUGACAUCGUCUUCAAGUACUCGACCCCGGCGCACAACUUGGUCGAGGUCAGCAAGGCCGGCUACGACUCCUGCAGCACCGACGGCGCCAUCAACACCUUGGCCUCGGGCAACGACGUCAUCACCCUCAACGCCACCGGCACCCGAUACUUCAUCUGUGGCGUCCCUAGCCAUUGCAGCCCCACCGCCGCCGCCAGCAUGAAGGUCGUGAUCGACGUCGCCUCGGGCUCCUCCUCGCCGUCGUCACCCAUGCCAGCUGCAGGUCCUGGCGCGAGCAACUCUCCCCCGGCGCCGCCCUCCAACGCCGCUACCUCCGUCGGUGCCACAGCAGGAUUUGGCCUCGUCGCCCUACUGGCGGCCGGUCUCAUGGCUUGA